UACGUAGGUGGCAAGCGUUGUCCGGAUUUACUGGGCGUAAAGAGCUCGUAGGCGGUCUGUUGCGUCUGCCGUGAAAACCCGAGGCUUAACCUCGGGCCUGCGGUGGAUACGGGCAGACUGGAGGUAGGUAGGGGAGAAUGGAAUUCCCGGUGGUAGCGGUGAAAUGCGCAGAUAUCGGGAGGAACACCGGUGGCGAAGGCGGUUCUCUGGGCCUUACCUGACGCUGAGGAGCGAAAGCGUGGGG
rnacentral:rRNA from 1 species